rnacentral:rRNA from 1 species
CCUACGGGGGGCUGCAGUGGGGAAUAUUGGACAAUGGGGGGAACCCUGAUCCAGCCAUGCCGCGUGUGUGAAGAAGGCCCUCGGGUUGUAAAGCACUUUCAGUGAGGAAGAACGCCUGGUGGUUAAUACCCAUCAGGAAAGACAUCACUCACAGAAGAAGCACCGGCUAACUCCGUGCCAGCAGCCGCGGUAAUACGGAGGGUGCGCGCGUUAAUCGGAAUUACUGGGCGUAAAGCGCGCGUAGGUGGCUUGAUAAGCCGGUUGUGAAAGCCCCGGGCUCAACCUGGGAACGGCAUCCGGAACUGUCAAGCUAGAGUGCAGGAGAGGAAGGUAGAAUUCCCGGUGUAGCGGUGAAAUGCGUAGAGAUCGGGAGGAAUACCAGUGGCGAAGGCGGCCUUCUGGACUGACACUGACACUGAGGUGCGAAAGCGUGGGUAGCAAACAGGAUUAGAUACCCGGGUAGUC